UUGCGAUUCGAUUUCUACUCGAUUUUGACAUUAUUAACUUAGGAGAAUCGGGCCCCUGUUUCUAAGCUACCAGUAUCCCGAUGUUAUUGAACUUUGUGAGUGUAUAGUGUGUACCUUUAAAGCGAUUUCCAGGAAGAUGGUGCUCUUUUUAAAUAGCCUCAUUGCGAUAACUUUACACAAAGGGAAGUUUCCUUUAAGUACAAGUCAUUGUCUCACUUGUAUACCCUUUUAAGAGUACUCAGCAAUUCAGGUAAUAAAUAGCUAAAUUCCACUUAGUAAACAAUAAGGAGUUCUUAAUAUCACCACGCUACCUAUAGGUAACGAAGUUCUAGACUAGGCCCAUAACGGUAUGCCUAUCAGUAACUCAAUAUACGCACUGCUGGAUGUGGUGCAAAAAAAAAAAAAUCAAGCCACAUUCGCAUGGCAUCGCACGAGCACCCCAAAAAACGGUACGUUCAAAAAACAGAACUCGGGCACUCUAGAGGGCUACAAUAACGAGGCCUGUAGUGGUCCCGUAGGUAACACCACGAAUACCGAUUUUCAAGUUGAGGAAAGCAGCACAUAUUUACUAACACAUGAAAAGUCUGAGUCAUUGCCGAUCUAUCUACUAUCCUAUAACGUACCUACGCCAAAAUUCUUGAUAUCUAUGCCCCAAAUAGGCCAACAUAAAUAUUAACAAAUUACAAAAGAGCUUUUAUCGUCACGGUAGGUACUGGCAGCAGAUCUUUUUAAAAUACUUUUCAUAAGGCUGGUAUGUCAUAUAAAAUUAAACAAGAUUUGGUAACUUCUGGCCUGGCAGAAAAAGCAUUGAAAACACAAUUUACGAUACACCUAAUUUCUUGAAAAUUGAAGAAAAAAUUUGCUUUAACUAUGUAAAUCAUAUAUUUAGCGCGUCAGUUAGUCAAAACACAAUCAAAUAAUAUUUGCCUCGAAUCGUGAUAUGGAGUUUUUGGAUUCGCUGGAUCUAGACACGAUCGAUAAGAAGUCGCACCGGGUGCGGUCUUGGUAUCUGUACGAGCAAUAUAAAUCUCUCGAAAGAAGUCAGUUGGAUGCCGCGCAGAAACUGAAAGAUCGCUCCUACCAGGAGAGAAUUCUGCGCCAGGAAUUGUCGGAAAGACGAGCCAGACGCAAACUAUACGAUCAAUUCGGACUUUGUCAUAGCGAGUCCAGAUUAAAGAAAGAGAGGAGCGACAGCACCAGGAGUUCAGUGAGUGCCAGUAACGACGACUUCUUCGAGAGUUUCUGCGUCUUGCAAGACGACGAACGUGUUACCCAAAUUACGGGAACAGAGUUUUCUGAAGAUUCCUUCAGUCAAGACGGCUUGUCGGCUAGUAAAUGCUGCAUAAACGAUUUCAAAACUGAAGAGCACAAGGAUGACUGCAGCUAUACUGAGAGCGUAAAUAGCGUAGUAGAGAAUUUAAAACCUUUUAACGACGAGUUUUUACCAACAAAAGAGAACAUGGAGCUUUCGCAGAACUCUAUAGUAGAAGAUAUAAAUAUGCAACUUGACUCGGUCAAAGAGGAUAUUAUAUGUUUAGAAAACUUAGCAAAAAUUGAAGACGUCGAUAAAAUAUCUGAAGACGAAAGUUUGAACACCGUUGAUGAAUGCGAGUCGAAGCCUGAUACGGUUAGCGAAAAAACUGUUCAGGAAUAUAAUAAUAACGUAAUCGCAAUAUGGUCCCGGCUAGUCUCGUUCGCAUAUCAAGUUGUACAAUUAAACCAUGGCAACUGCUACUGUGACUACAGCUCGCAGUUCCUGACGGCGGUGCUGGCGUGUGAUGUGUUGCGAAGGGGCGUCAACAGAAUGUCCUUACGUCUCACCAAUAAAGUUUGCUACUGACGAUUCGGACGUGUCCAACCCGCUUUUUAAUUUAAAUAUUAAACGGAAAAAAUUAGUACAAUCAAGAAAAUGCAGGAAAAUAUGUGAUAAGCCAUUAUCAAGCAAGAAAGCAAAAACAUGGUCCAAAACAAGACGGUCAAAUCGAAAAUACUCAGAAAACUGUUGGCAACCGCUUAGUAAGAAUUCGAUUGGUCGGACCGAUACCUA
rnacentral:misc_RNA from 1 species